CUCUCACCUGCGCCGGGCGCGGUCCCACCUGCGCCGGCAGCCGCAGCCCCAUUGGCGCGCCCGGGUGCCGCUCAGCGCCGCGGCCGCCUGCCCGGGACGGCCCAGAACGAUCCACGGGGCGAGGCCGCAGUGAGUCACAGCCGGGACGGUGACACACGGCCGCUGGAAGCCCCGGGAAAUGACAGCCGGUGUCACCCCCCAAACGCUGCCCGCAGCGAGGGCUGAGGCCCGACAGCACUUGUGGCACCAGUGGGAGACCCCCAGGUGCCUCGUGGGUGCAAGGUUUGGCCACACAGAGCCCAGAAGAGCCUGAGGGAAGCCCCUGCUCAGCCCUGGAGUUUUUGGGGUGUCACCCCCGCCCAAAAUAUAACUCACACCCCUUCGCAGGGGGGGAAAGUGAGGCAGCCCCAUACAGGCCUGCGGAAGGACUUGCCCAUAGUUGAGCCCAGCCCUUCAGCCCCCCCAAAUCCACCCUGAGCUGGCGUUGGCCCCCCCCGCCCGGCGUGUCCGCUCCGGGGAGCAGCGUGCGCUGAUCGCGGCUGACAGCUGCUGCUCCGCGCCCGCCCGGUGCUGCGCCCUGCCCGAGGGGCCGCGGGGCCGCCGACAGACACGGAGCCCCUCGCCGCGCUCGGGGGCUCGGGGGGUCCCAGCCCCGCUGCUGCCGCCCCACGGGGCCCGAUCCCACUGCUCCCCGUCACGCCAUGAUCAUCCGCCCCCGACGCCUGACCCCGGGGUACUUCCGUCUGCUCCAGAUGCAGCUGGCAGCAGGACGUGGGGCUGAGCCGGGGGGGCGGCUGCUGACCCCCCUGGCCCUGCUGCUGGCGGCCGCCGGACUCUGCCUGUCGCUGUACAGCGCCCGGAGAAUGGCUGACCCCGCCAAGGCCCCCCCGGAGCCGUGAGCAGGGGGCUGGCGGGGCUGUGGGGACGGUCCCCGAGGGGGUGUUGGGGUCCCCCUCCACCCGCUGGCCCCCGCCCGAGCAGAGCUGCAGCUGCGGCCACUUUCCAGCUGACCUGCGCCACAUCCAGCCCUUCCCGCCACGCCUGGGCACGCGAUGGAUGCGGGGAUGGGGAUGGGGGACACGCGCCUGUCCCCGCCUGUCCCUGCCUUGGGCAGCCGGGAUGGAGAACGGAGGAGCCGCUUCCAGCUCCGGAGCUGAGACCCUGCCCGAGCCACGAGGAGACAUCGGGACCAACCACCGGAUCAGAGGCUGGACGGACAGACAGAGGGACGGCAGAGCCGGGAGCUGCAUCCAUCUCCAUCCCCCACGGAAGCAGAGGGGCCGGGGGACCCCAGCGGUGGCCAUGGAGCCCCCCAGUCCCCACGGGAAUGUGCUGUGGCUGCAGCCCCACUGGAAUGAGGCCAGCGCCAUUAGGUAACGAGGCAGGGGGGACACGGGGCCGGUGACGCGUCCCCCAGGCAGGCGCAUCCCGCUGGGAUGGCGCUGGGAUGGCGGCUGCAGCCUUCCCGGCCCCCCCGCCGAGCCGCAGCUCCCCAUGCCCCUGGGCCGGGGGGACAAAUCCAGGCAGGCUGCGUGGAAAUAAACCCUCCCCUACCCAGCA